rnacentral:rRNA from 1 species
UACGUAGGGUGCAAGCGUUGUCCGGAAUUAUUGGGCGUAAAGAGCUCGUAGGCGGCUUGUCGCGUCGGCUGUGAAAACCUGGGGCUCAACCCCGGGCCUGCAGCCGAUACGGGCAAGCUAGAAUUCGGUAGGGGAGACUGGAAUUCCAGGUGUAGCGGUGAAAUGCGUAGAUAUCUGGAGGAACACCGGUGGCGAAGGCGGCAUCCUGGACCAACACUGACACUGAGGAGCGAAAGCCAGGGGAGCAAACGGG